AGAGAUAGAGGGUGCUCGAAAGAGAGCCGUAACACAGGUGCUGCAUGGCUGUCGUCAGCUCGUGUCGUGAGAUGUUGGGUUAAGUCCCGCAACGAGCGCAACCCUUGUCAUUAGUUGCUACAUUCAGUUGGGCACUCUAAUGAGACUGCCGGUGACAAGCCGGAGGAAGUGGGAUGACGUCAAGUCCUCAUGGCCCUUAUAGGUGGGGCUACACACGUCAUACAAUGGCUGGUACAAAGGGUUGCCAACCCGCGAGGGGGAGCCAAUCCCAUAAAGCCAGUCGUAGUCCGGAUCGUAGUCUGCAACUCGACUACGUGAAGUCGGAAUCGCUAGUAAUCGUGGAUCAGAAUGUCACGGUGAAUACGUUCCCGGGUCUU
rnacentral:rRNA from 1 species